AGAGUUUGAUCGUGGCUCAGAGCGAACGCUGGCGGCAGGCUUAACACAUGCAAGUCGAACGGGCUUCUUCGGAAGUCAGUGGCAGACGGGUGAGUAACACGUGGGAACGUGCCCUUCGGUUCGGAAUAACUCAGGGAAACUUGAGCUAAUACCGGAUACGCCCUUUUGGGGAAAGGUUGACUGCCGAAGGAUCGGCCCGCGUCUGAUUAGCUUGUUGGUGGGGUAACGGCCUACCAAGGCGACGAUCAGUAGCUGGUCUGAGGGGAUGAUCAGCCACACUGGGACUGAGACACGGCCCAGACUCCUACGGGAGGCAGCAGUGGGGAAUAUUGGACAAUGGGCGCAAGCCUGAUCCAGCCAUGCCGCGUGAGUGAUGAAGGCCUUAGGGUUGUAAAGCUCUUUUGUCCGGGACGAUAAUGACGGUACCGAAGAUUA
rnacentral:rRNA from 1 species